ensembl:piRNA 21ur-7316 ncRNA
UUUCAGUGUUUUCUCGAGAUU